UAGGCAAACAAACAUAGCGAUUGAUAA
rnacentral:sRNA from 1 species